rnacentral:rRNA from 1 species
UACGGGGGGGGCAAGCGUUGUUCGGAAUUACUGGGCGUAAAGGGCUCGUAGGCGGCCAACUAAGUCAGACGUGAAAUCCCCAGGCUCAACCUGGGAACUGCGUCUGAUACUGGAUGGCUUGAAUCCGGGAGAGGGAUGCAGAAUUCCAGGUGUAGCGGUGAAAUGCGUAGAUAUCUGGAGGAAUACCGGUGGCGAAGGCGGCAUCCUGGACCAACACUGACGCUGAGGAGCGAAAGCCAGGGGAGCAAACGGG